rnacentral:rRNA from 1 species
UCGAGAAUUUUUCUCAAUGGGCGAAAGCCUGAAGGAGCGACGCCGCGUGGGGGAUGAAGGGCUUCGGUCCGUAAACCCCUGUCAUUUGCGAACAAACCUUACGUGUGAAUAACGCGUGAGCUGAUUGUAGCGAAAGAGGAAGGGACGGCUAACUCUGUGCCAGCAGCCGCGGUAAUACAGAGGUCCCAAGCGUUGUUCGGAUUCACUGGGCGUAAAGGGUGCGCAGGUGGGUUGGCAAGUUUGACGUGAAAGCCCCGGGCUUAACCCGGGAAUGGCGUUGAAAACUGCUGAUCUGGAGGAUUGGAGGGGGGACUGGAAUUCUUGGUGUAGCAGUGAAAUGCGUAGAUAUCAAGAGGAACACCAGUGGCGAAGGCGAGUCCCUGGACAAUUCCUGACACUGAGGCACGAAAGCCAAGGGAGCAAACAG